GACAGAGGUGCCGAGCGUUAGGCGGAAUCACUGGGCUUAAAGCGUGUGUAGGCGGACUUCUAAGUACCUUGUGAAAUCCCAUGGCUCAACCAUGGAACUGCUUGGUAUACUGGUUGUCUUGAGCCACUUAGGGGCAGUCGGAACAGAUGGUGGAGCGGUGAAAUGCGUAGAUAUCAGGAGGAACACCAGUGGCGAAGGCGGUGCUCUGGGCCGGAACUGACGCUGAGGAGCGAAAGCGUGGGGAGCAAACAGG
rnacentral:rRNA from 1 species